AUUGAACGCUGGCGGCAUGCUUUACACAUGCAAGUCGAACGGUAACAGGCCUUCGGGUGCUGACGAGUGGCGAACGGGUGGGUAAUGCAUCGGAACGUGCCCAAUCGUGGGGGAUAACGUAGCGAAAGUUACGCUAAUACCGCAUAAGCCCUGAGGGGGAAAGCAGGGGAUCGCAAGACCUUGCGCGAAUGGAGCGGCCGAUGUCAGAUUAGCUAGUUGGUGGGGUAAAGGCCUACCAAGGCGACGAUCUGUAGCGGGUCUGAGAGGAUGAUCCGCCACACUGGGACUGAGACACGGCCCAGACUCCUACGGGAGGCAGCAGUGGGGAAUUUUGGACAAUGGGCGCAAGCCUGAUCCAGCCAUGCCGCGUGCGGGACGAAGGCCUUCGGGUUGUAAACCGCUUCUAGCCGGAAAGAAAUACGCCAAGGCUAAUAUCCUUGGUGGAUGACGGUACCGGAAGAAGAAGCACCGGCUAACUACGUGCCAGCAGCCGCGG
rnacentral:rRNA from 1 species